rnacentral:tmRNA from 1 species
GGGGGCGUACUGGUUUCGACGGGGACGUGGAGGCCGGAAUAGCGGGCGGAUGCGCCUAACAUCCUUAAAAUGGGCAACUUAUAAAUGAAAGAACAACGAUAACGUCGUUCUCGCCGCUGCUUAAUGAGCGGCCGUCCCGCCCGGAAGGACCACGGUCCGGGAUGGGGCGUCGUUGAGUGGUGCACGUGCGUACGCAAAGCUUUGCGCGUACCAUGAAUCAUGAAGCUACCAAGCCUUUGAGUGUGACGGCUCACGCCUGGGUGAGGGAAUGUAAAUAACCGUCUGCGCCCGGAGAAGUUCUUGUUAAAGCGUUUUCGGACGGGGGUUCGACUCCCCCCGCCUCCACCA